UUUAAAUAUUCGGCCUGUUCCUUCUUAUUUUGUGUUACUGAAAGGAUCGAUUGACGAAAGUUUAGUUUAUAGGCAUCAGACAUGGCCGACGAUGAAAAUAUCGCUGCAUUAGUUGUAGACAAUGGAUCCGGUAUGUGCAAGGCUGGAUUUGCUGGCGACGACGCCCCAAGAGCCGUGUUUCCAUCCAUUGUCGGUAGACCCAGACAUCAGGGUGUGAUGGUCGGGAUGGGACAGAAGGACAGCUAUGUUGGUGACGAGGCCCAGAGCAAGAGAGGUAUCCUAACAUUGAAAUACCCAAUUGAACACGGUAUUGUCACUAACUGGGACGAUAUGGAGAAAAUCUGGCAUCACACUUUCUACAAUGAACUCCGUGUUGCCCCAGAGGAACACCCAGUACUGCUAACUGAGGCUCCACUCAAUCCUAAGGCUAACAGAGAAAAAAUGACCCAAAUCAUGUUUGAAACAUUCAACACCCCAGCCAUGUACGUCGCCAUCCAGGCUGUACUGUCACUGUAUGCUUCCGGUCGAACUACGGGUAUUGUGAUGGACUCUGGUGAUGGUGUUUCACACACAGUACCAAUCUAUGAGGGGUACGCCCUUCCCCACGCAAUUCUGCGUUUAGAUCUCGCUGGUAGAGAUCUCACUGACUAUCUUAUGAAGAUCCUUACAGAGCGUGGUUAUUCUUUUACCACCACUGCUGAAAGGGAAAUUGUAAGAGAUAUUAAAGAAAAGCUGAGCUAUGUUGCCCUAGACUUUGAACAGGAGAUGGUCACAGCUGCUGAGUCAAGCUCACUGGAGAAAAGCUAUGAACUACCUGACGGACAGGUCAUCACCAUUGGCAACGAGCGUUUCCGUUGCCCAGAGGCCGAGUUCCAGCCAUCUUUCCUUGGUAUGGAAUCCGCAGGUAUCCAUGAAACAACGUACAACAGCAUCAUGAAGUGUGACGUCGACAUUCGUAAAGAUUUGUACGCAAACAUCGUGUUGUCUGGCGGUUCCACAAUGUUCCCAGGUAUUGCUGAUCGUAUGCAGAAGGAAAUCACAGCCCUUGCUCCGCCAACAAUGAAAAUCAAGAUCAUUGCUCCACCAGAGAGGAAAUACUCUGUAUGGAUUGGUGGCUCUAUCCUGGCUUCGCUGUCCACCUUCCAACAGAUGUGGAUCAGUAAGCAAGAAUAUGACGAAUCUGGACCCUCAAUCGUACACAGAAAAUGUUUCUAGAUCUAACUUUUCUGACUUAAUUAUCCAAUUUUAUGAAAACAGAUCAUUUUAAACAUUUAUUCGCGUUCUGAAUUUAUUAACAGUAAAGAACACAAACGAUUUUCUCUUGAUACAACAAAACAAUUUGUUGGAGCUAAAUCUGUCAAAUAAAAAAAUGAAACAUAGAUAAAACAUAUGAAGGAGA
rnacentral:misc_RNA from 1 species